rnacentral:rRNA from 1 species
UGGGGAAUAUUGGACAAUGGGGGGAACCCUGAUCCAGCCAUGCCGCGUGUGUGAAGAAGGCCUUAUGGUUGUAAAGCACUUUAAGCGAGGAGGAGGGUACUGGUAUUAAUACUACCAGGUACUGGACGUUACUCGCAGAAUAAGCACCCGCUAACUCUGUGCCAGCAGCCGCGGUAAUACAGAGGGUGCAAGCGUUAAUCGGAAUUACUGGGCGUAAAGCGCGCGUAGGUGGUUCGUUAAGUUGAAUGUGAAAGCCCCGGGCUCAACCUGGGAACUGCAUCCAAAACUGGCGAGCUAGAGUAGGGCAGAGGGUGGUGGAAUUUCCUGUGUAGCGGUGAAAUGCGUAGAUAUAGGAAGGAACACCAGUGGCGAAGGCGACCACCUGGGCUCAUACUGACACUGAGGUGCGAAAGCGUGGGGAGCAAACAGG